rnacentral:rRNA from 1 species
CCUACGGGUGGCAGCAGUGGGGAAUAUUGCGCAAUGGGCGAAAGCCUGACGCAGCGACGCCGCGUGAGGGAUGAAGGUCUUCGGAUCGUAAACCUCUGUCAGCAGGGAAGAACGGUCACUGUGCUAAUCAGCAGUGAAUUGACGGUACCUGCAAAGGAAGCACCGGCUAACUCCGUGCCAGCAGCCGCGGUAAUACGGAGGGUGCGAGCGUUAAUCGGAAUUACUGGGCGUAAAGCGCUCGUAGGCGGUAUGUCAAGUCUAGGGUGAAAUCCCCGGGCUCAACGUGGGAACUGCCGUUGAAACUGGCAAACUGGAGUGUGUGAGAGGAUAGUGGAAUUCCAGGUGUAGGAGUGAAAUGCGUAGAUAUCUGGAGGAACAUCAGUGGCGAAGGCGACUAUCUGGCACAUAACUGACGCUGAGGAGCGAAAGCGUGGGUAGCAAACAGGAUUAGAUACCCCUGUAGUC